CUAAAUUGGAGAUUUUCUAGACUAAAUAACUACGUUGAUUUUUAGAUAAGGGACUGUACAAACGCAAAGAAUAUUUAGCAGAGGGAUGUGUGUUUAAAAUUCGGUUCUUGCCCAGCUGUUAACACACCCACUUAGGUAAGGUGCUUACAUGCAAGUAGCUAUGCAGCCAUAAAGUACAAAUAUUUUGACAUGUAUUUCCAUAAUAUUUGCAUCAUACACGUAGUAACAACUUUUCUGAGAUAUAGGCUCUUUCGCAGUGUUUUUUCAGUUUAUGUUGUUAAUCCUCUCUUCUCUUGGCGAUUUUCAAUUCUGGUAAAGAAUAUUUAGCAGAGGGGUGUGUGUUUAAAAUUUGGUUUCUUGC